rnacentral:rRNA from 1 species
GAUGAACGCUGGCGGCGUGCCUAAUACAUGCAAGUCGAGCGAACGGACGAGAAGCUUGCUUCUCUGAUGUUAGCGGCGGACGGGUGAGUAACACGUGGAUAACCUACCUAUAAGACUGGGAUAACUUCGGGAAACCGGAGCUAAUACCGGAUGAUAUUUUGAACCGCAUGGUUCAAAAGUGAAAGACGGUCUUGCUGUCACUUAUAGAUGGAUCCGCGCUGCAUUAGCUAGUUGGUAAGGUAACGGCUUACCAAGGCAACGAUGCAUAGCCGACCUGAGAGGGCGAUCGGCCACACUGGAACUGAGACACGGUCCAGACUCCUACGGGAGGCAGCAGUAGGGAAUCUUCCGCAAAGGGCGAAAGCCUGACGGAGCAACGCCGCGUGAGUGAUGAAGGUCUUCGGAUCGUAAAACUCUGUUAUUAGGGAAGAACAUAUGUGUAAGUAACUGUGCACAUCUUGACGGUACCUAAUCAGAAAGCCACGGCUAACUACGUG